rnacentral:lncRNA from 1 species
UUCACACAGGUAGAAAGGAGAGCUUUAUUUCUCAUAAAGGAUUGCAGCCUGCAGGGUGAGCAUUCUGCAUGGCUGGGAAGUGUAGCCUCCGGCCAGAAGCCAGAAACCUGCACUUUGAGGGUGGUAAGAAUAAGACAGAGAUUUAUGCUGAAGGAGGUGGCCAAAUAUACAUAUUCAAUAAGCUACAGAAGGAUCCAUGAAUAUUUAUGAGAGGAGCAACAUGAGCAUGAGCAAUUGAGCUUCAUGCCUCUUCAUGGGUCCCAUGUACAAAAAUGGUGGCAUUAGCAUAAUCCCAGGGUGGAGACUUCAGCCCACUGACAUCAAAAGGUGAAGAAGAGGACACAAAACCCUCACUGAGCAUUCUCCAUAGACUGGCCAGAACCACUCCAUUGUAGUCUCUUAAAAAAGAAUGCUGGUCAGCUGUUGUGUCAAAACUGCAAAAGAAAGUUUUGUUGUGUUAAAACUGAAAUUGCUGUGUCAGGCAGUUGGUUGAUACCAGUGGUGGAGCAAGUCUUUCACAAGCACUGGUGCCCGUUAAGUCCUUAGGGAAGAAAGCCCUAGUGGUGGUUAGUGAGGGAGGGGCAUAACGAGGCGUGUCCGAUCUCCCAUCCUGCUAUGACUGAGAACUCAGUUUUAAGAUUUCUCUGGGAUCCCCUUAACCAAGAGAGGGUCCAUUCAGUCAGUUGCGGGGCUUAGAAUUUUAUUUUUAUUUCUCAAAUUUUACAAUACCUGGCUUCAUGUUUUCCUGUGCACCAGGGGCAAGUAACUGGUAACAUCAGUGCCUUAAUGCUAUAGCAAGACUGGGCAAAGGGAAAGUACAUUUCUUAGGGGCAGAUUUCCGGCAAAUUUUUCCUUAAUAGGUCCCUUAAGGAGAGUCACCUCAUGAUCACAAGAUGGCUGCCACACUUCCAGGCAUCGCAUCUGAGGAAGAAUUAGACCCUUUGCUUGAUAUCUUUCAUUUACCCUCUAGGUAUUCUCCCCAUUCUUCUUUACCCUAUGUGAUGAUUAAUAUUAAGUGUCAACUUGAUUGGAUUGAAGGAUGCAAAGUAUUGUUUCUGGAUGUGUCUGUGAAGGUGUUGCCAGAGGAGAUUAACAUUUGAAUCAGUGGAUUAGGAGAGGCAGACCUAUCCUCAAUGUGGGUGGGCACAAAUCCAAUCAUCUGUCAAUGCAGCUAGAAAAAGCAGGCAGAAGAAGGUAGAAUAAGACAGUUUGCUGAGUCUUCUGGCUUUCUUCUUUUUCCCAUGCUGGAUGCUUCCUGCCCUUGAAUAUCAGACUUCAGGUUCUUCAGCCUUUGGACUCUUGGACGUACACCAGUGGUUUUGCCAGGGGCUCUCAGGCCUUUGGCCCCAGAUUGAAGGCUGCACGGUCAGCUUUACUUUUGAGGCUUUGGGACUCGGACUGAGCCACUACUGGCUUCCUUGCUCUUCAGCUUGCAGAGAGCCUAUCUUGGAACUUCAUCUUGUGACUCGAUGAAGUAAAUCUCCUGUCAAAGGAUUGGAGAGAAGGAACCAACCGUCUUUCACUCACCCACUUAGAACCUUCUGGAAGCCCUGACUGCCUUGCUGUAAGGUCGGCUGAAUGGAAAGAGACAAAGGCUGUUGGCCCUGAUAACAGAGGACAUGGAGAACACUGACGGGCCAGCACAGAGAGGUGUGUGGAGAAAUGGAUGCCCUGUAGGGUGUCAAACCUACAUUGCAGCCUGAAGGAUGUCUUCACUUCCUCCUGCUCCUUCGCCUUGUAUCCUUCAUAGAUUUUUCCCGCAAUAAAACUUUGCAUAUCUAAUAU